rnacentral:rRNA from 1 species
UACGGAGGGUGCAAGCGUUAUCCGGAUUCACUGGGUUUAAAGGGUGCGUAGGAGGGCAGGUAAGUCAGUGGUGAAAUCCCCGAGCUUAACUUGGGAACUGCCGUUGAUACUAUCUGUCUUGAAUACCGUGGAGGUGAGCGGAAUAUGUCAUGUAGCGGUGAAAUGCUUAGAUAUGACAUAGAACACCAAUUGCGAAGGCAGCUCGCUACACGAAUAUUAACUCUGAGGCACGAAAGCGUGGGGAUCAAACAGG